GUUGGCUGUUUUUGACCCUUUAUUGCUAUGACUAUUUUUUUCAUCAUAUCACCAUUUUAUUAACUUCUUUAAACCUGUUUUUCAAUUCUGUCCACUCUUGAUUCUUUUAAUAUCCGUUUCUUGUCAUCUUUUUUCACAUGGCGUGUGAGGCUCAAAUUCUCAAUGGCUUUCUCUUAUGUAAAAUAUUGACAGCAUCAAUCUAAAGUAGAAGAACAAUAAUAUUGUUUAUAAUUUUUCAUAGAGAUUGGAAAAUGAAGGCUUUGCUUCCAAGUGUCUUUGCUCUUUGGAGAGGAUAUAUAUAAAUGCUUGAAUAGUGUGAGGUAAGUAAGAAACCCUUCUCUAAUUGUCCUUUCAUUCCUAGUGCAAUCUUAUCUACAAGCUAAGCCAGUUAACAACAAGGAUAUGGAGAAAGAGGAAACUGAAGAGGAUGAUGAUAACAAAGUUCAGUUUAUGAAUACUAUGCCACUCUCUUUUUGAAGAGAGAAGCGUGAAAAAGGCAAGUCUCAGUGGCAUAGGGAAGGCAAAGCCUUUCUUCCGGGUUCGAUUCAUGAAGCUGCAUACUGUGCUGGUGAUGGGUUGAUUGCUAUGUAAUUUAGUGUUUUCUUUGUUUCUCUUUUCACCCAUUAUUUAGUCUAAUCACUUUCAAUGCUUGACUUAGAAACCACUCCAAUAGAUGCAUGAGAAGGCAAGCUGCAGAAACUGAGGUAGUGAGUGAUUUGAGAAAUAUAGAUUGUAAUGUUUGCUUUUUUUGGAAGUCUUGAAUAAAGUAGUAAACUGUUUGUUGGUUUCCAAUAUAGAAAAAAGUCAUUAUUGUAAAGAUUUACCUUGAAAUGUCAAAUUUAGGUCCAGCUUCCAUUCCUUGUCUAUGUAUUUCUGUAAAAGACAAGGAAUGUGCAAGCAGACACAUACGAACUACUAAGUAAAACUGGGGAUAAGUCCACUCUGCUAAGCUUGACAUGAAGUGAAGAAAAAAUAUGGUGCAUUUAAUGUUACACAGAUCAUAUAUCAUUUUUUAAGAAUUUAUACUUCAUUUUUACCUAGCUUAAGUAUAAGGUAGAGCAUAGUGAUCUACAUCAAGCGUUAUUCAUAUGUUGCACGUGGGAAGCUUUAUAUA